rnacentral:lncRNA from 1 species
UGGUGUUGCCCAUGUAGGUGGCGAAGUGGUCGCGGAAGGCGCGCAUGAAGUCGGCGUAGCACUGGAUGGGGGUGCGGCCCUUGAGCACGGGCAGCGCGUCGCAGCCCAGCGAGACGUACUCGUAAUUCCGGCGCCCGCUCCGGUCGGUGUAGGCCAGGUCCUGGUCCUUGUCCAUCUCCUCCAAAACCCAUUUCGGAAGUGGUAUGCUGCAACAACACACAAUAGCAACCUCGUCAGGGUCAGUUAUCAUACAGUGACCUCACAUCAGGUGUCCUAAACAUUCAUUAACGUUUCAAAAGAUCAUGUCCCUAAUUUUUUACGCAUAAACUGAAGCACCUCCAACUUACUUGAAAUGGGCAUUAAGAAUCUACAUGGACCUAGGCAGGAUCACAUGGCAGGAAACUAAAAAAAGCAUUGCUUCAGGCAUGGGCUCUGAACUUCUGAUCACGGAUCUCGUGGCAAAGUCACGUGUAGCGUCGGGCGUCGGCAGGAAGACGGGGAACUACGCCAGACGCCACCGCCCAACGAGGAAAGGACGAAUUUUUUUUCAGGCUAUCCGAAAGGUCAACUUGCGGUUCUGAACCACGGGACAAUUUUCAGGCUCAAAAUCGAUGCAUUUUUUUCAGGCUCUCAGCGUAAAGUUCAGUAAAAAAAAAAGUGCGGAUCUUUUUGAGACGUAAAGGGCCCGAUGACUUGGACAGUUCCAAUAACGUCAAAACACCAACGGCAGGCAGGAGAUCCGUGCAAUCUAAUGGACGUCAAAACACCAACGGCAGGCAGGAGAUCCGUGAAACAAUGUGAAGAUCAGAUCAGACACCCAACAGCAGAGCUUCAGAAUACUGAUGUUGAUCAGCUCAACAUAUGUCAAAUUAAUGCCGGGAAAUUUAACUCUAAUUCAGAGAACGUACGCCAAGGACAGCAACACUGGUAAUUGGUAAAGCAGGCAAAGAGAUUAGAGAUGGAGGAGGAGGUAGUGGACGUACGUGACUGAGUCGCCGACGUUGCCGCCGCACUGGUGGAAGGACAUGACGGCCUGCACCUUGAGCCCGUUCUUCCUGGCCAUCUCCAUGAGCUCCAUGUAGCCGUUGAAGUUGUACUGUCCGGGGCCCUCGGCCUCGGCGAUACCCCACCACACGUCCACCAUGAUGCCCUCGACGCCGGCGCUCUUGAGCGCCGCCAGGCUGGCCUCCACCGCCCUCCGCCGGUUGAGGCUGUUGCCGUCCUUGCGCACCGUGUCGAGCGGCAUCAUCACGAACACCGGCACGCCGGCCUUGCUCUUC